UAGGGAAUCUUCGGCAAUGGGGGGAACCCUGACCGAGCAACGCCGCGUGAGUGAAGAAGGUUUUCGGAUCGUAAAGCUCUGUUGUUAAGGAAGAACGAGUGUGAGAAUGGAAAGUUCAUGCUGUGACGGUACUUAACCAGAAAGGAACGGCUAACUACGUGCCAGCAGCCGCGGUAAUACGUAGGUCCCGAGCGUUGUCCGGAUUUAUUGGGCGUAAAGCGAGCGCAGGCGGUUAGAAAAGUCUGAAGUGAAAGGCAGUGGCUCAACCAUUGUAGGCUUUGGAAACUGUUUAACUUGAGUGCAGAAGGGGAGAGUGGAAUUCCAUGUGUAGCGGUGAAAUGCGUAGAUAUAUGGAGGAACACCGGUGGCGAAAGCGGCUCUCUGGUCUGUAACUGACGCUGAGGCUCGAAAGCGUGGGUAGCAAACAGG
rnacentral:rRNA from 1 species